rnacentral:rRNA from 1 species
UCGAGAAUCUUCGGCAAUGGGCGAAAGCCUGACCGAGCAAUGCCGCGUGCGGGAUGAAGGCCCUCGGGUUGUAAACCGCUGUCGUAGGGGAGAAAGGUCUCAUGAAGAAUGAGAUUUGAUCUAUCCUAGGAGGAAGUCCGGGCUAAGUUCGUGCCAGCAGCCGCGGUAACACGAACCGGACAAACGUUAUUCGGAAUUAUUGGGCUUAAAGGGUGCGUAGGCGGUGCGGUAAGUGAGGUGUGAAAGCCCUCGGCUCAACCGAGGAAUUGCGCUUCAUACUGCCGUGCUAGAGGGAGACAGAGGUAAGCGGAACUGAUGGUGGAGCGGUGAAAUGCGUUGAUAUCAUCAGGAACACCGGUGGCGAAAGCGACUUACUGGGUCUCUUCUGACGCUGAGGCACGAAAGCUAGGGUAGCGAACGGGAUUAGAUACCCUUGUAGUCCCUGAGCGGGCUGGCAAGGCGCAU